UGGACUAUAGUUCAGUGGUAGAACAUCUGCUUUGCAUGUAGAAGGACCCAGGUUCAAUCCCCAGUAUUUCCAA